rnacentral:rRNA from 1 species
GACGAACGCUGGCGGCGUGCUUAACACAUGCAAGUCGAACGCUGAAGCUCAGCUUUUGUUGGGUGGAUGAGUGGCGAACGGGUGAGUAACACGUGAGUAACCUGCCCCCUUCUUUGGGAUAACGCCCGGAAACGGGUGCUAAUACUGGAUAUUCACUGGUCUUCGCAUGGGGGUUGGUGGAAAGGGUUUUUCUGGUGGGGGAUGGGCUCGCGGCCUAUCAGCUCGUUGGUGGGGUGAUGGCCUACCAAGGCUUUGACGGGUAGCCGGCCUGAGAGGGUGACCGGUCACAUUGGGACUGAGAUACGGCCCAGACUCCUACGGGAGGCAGCAGUGGGGAAUAUUGCACAAUGGGCGCAAGCCUGAUGCAGCGACGCCGCGUGAGGGAUGGAGGCCUUCGGGUUGUGAACCUCUUUCGCUCAUGGUCAAGCCGCAACAAUGGUUGUGGUGAGGGUAGUGGGUAAAGAAGCGCCGGCUAACUACGUG